rnacentral:rRNA from 1 species
GCGGUAUCUUGACCGUGCGAAGGUAGCGUAAUCACUUGUUUUUUAAUAGAAGGCCCGUAUGAAAGGCAUUACGAGAGUUUAACUGUCUUUAUUUUCCAAUCAAUGAAAUUAAUCUCCUCGUGCAGAAGCGAGGAUAUAAACAUAAGACGAGAAGACCCUAUGGAGCUUUAAACACUUAAGUUAUCUUAAAAACGAAUAUACAUCCUCGGAUAUAAAUACCUUAAAAAGUCUUAACUUAACUUGUUUUUGGUUGGGGUGACCAAGGAGAAAAACAUAACCUCCUUAUCGAAUGUGUGAUUAAUCACUCAAAAAUUACAAUUACUAUUCUAAUCAAUAGAAAAUCUAACGGAA